rnacentral:rRNA from 1 species
GCCAGCAGCCAUAUCACCCUGCAACUCGUAACUGGCAACCCACUGAAGCUAAGCACGUGUGAGCCUGGUCGGUACCCGGAUGGGAGACCUCCUGGGAAAAACUAAGGUUGCUACUGGAA